GAAGAUUUUUAAAGAAUUCUUACUGUUGGAGUUCAAAAUAUUCUCAACUUCUCUUCUCAGUACUUUUAGGUGGGAUCUUUUGAGGUGUGAGAGGUAAUCCCGAAGGCGGAAAUCCUAGAGGCAGUGUUUAGGCUUAGAUAGGCUCCAGGCUCUUCUCUGAAUGCCAGUUGGUCUGAAGAUUUUAAAACAGUGCCCAAUACUUGCUGGCCCAUUCUGGAAGACUUUAUCCCAGGGAUCUUCCCUGGGUUCCACUAGAAUUUUGGGGGAGCCAAUUCUUAGUCCCCUGUGUCACCUGUGGACCCCAUGUUUCCUGGCUCAGUCUCCAAACAAUCUGUACUAUCCCCAUCCUUGUGAGUUCCUGGCCAGAUGUGUCUUUCCUAGGGGUCCUGCAAGCAGUCAGAUUGGAGGAGGAGGGGUAGAUCCAGCUGGGUUUCUGAGGCUACUUGUUUCCUGUGUAAACUUCUCUCCAUGUUUGAUUUUUCUUCUGGUCACUUAAGCACACUCUGUAUUUUGCAGGGUGUGUUUACUGGGCGUGUAUUUGAGACCAAACUCAGGUUUGUCAGGAAUAGGCUUCCUGAGCUGUGAGUCCCCAUACAGUGACUGCCAAAUGGUUCCUUCCUUUGUUUUCCACAGGCUGCCUGGAGUGAUGGUGGCUUCUUCCCCACACAUGGAUAUGGUGCUGCAUGUCUUUCAGAGGGACCUCUCUGGUUGGAGCUUCUGGACCCUCUGCAGCUACAGAUGUGCCACUGGGGAUUUCUUCUUUGUUUUAUUAUAUCCAACCUCCUAUGUACCUGGUCUACUUUGAAGGUCCAGUUUUAAGUUCCAUUAAGGUACCUGCCCCUCCCCCCUUUCUUUUUGUUAACCCACCUUGAAGAGAAGCUGCCCGUCUGCUUUCUUGGCUUUACAUCAAGGAGCAGCCAGGAAUGUGAACUCCUCUAUUCCACCAUCUUGGAUUAUAUACCAGAAAUAGCAGAAAGAACCCAAGUCCAAAUGCUGCUUCUGCCAUUUAAUCAUGAGGUGAACUUGGACAUUUCUGAAGUACCAAUGACUUUUGCAACUUGCACCCAUUUCUUCUUCUGAGAAAUGAGCAUAGUAGCUGGCACCUUCCUGGUGGGGCUAAAAUGGUAUCACUUAAGUCGUAGCACAGAAAAGGACCACACCCUAUGUAUGUACAGGAAUGGCACUAUGAAAGCUGGAUUUUUUUUCUCUUUUGCCCAUUAGGAAGCCUGCUUCUUUGGACAGGACCUGCCCCUGCAUACAGCAUUGUUUAGUUUUAGCUUCUGAACCUUGUCUCGGAAUCUCAUACAGGACGUCUGGGUUCUGCUAGUGCUUUUCUUGGUGGAGAGUCCUCUCUGACUCCAAAACAACCAAUUUUGAAGCCAUGAACAUUUCGGGGACUCGGAGCUGCAAAAUACACAACACACAGCGUUUUUUGAGAUCUAAUGAAGACUCUGUCAGGCCUGAUUUGGAUCUUUUUAAUGAGGGUCUGAUUGAAUUUACCAUCUCCACAACAGUUGUGGGUCUUUGGGGCCAGUCAAUGAGUUCCUUCCCUGUUCUGCACAGGGGCACCGAUGGCCUUGACUUGUCAGCACCAACAGUGGUGUGCCACAAGUUGUCAGGGGCCACACAUUUGGUGGAUGACUUACUAGGUCAUCUCAGAUAAGCCCGUUGAAUCUUUCUGUGUUUGGGGUUUUCCGUCUGAGAACACAGGAUCACACACACUGGGCUUCUCUGGAAAGUGCUCCGAGGGAGGACAGAGGUGUGCUGCCUAAGGGGCUCUUGUGAAAGAGCUUUGCCUCACUUCUCAUUAGAAAGAGUGUCAUCUUGAGGUGGUUUAGCAACUUUUUGGCAGGAUGGUCCGAGGAAAAGGACUUGCUGAAGAAACAUCAGAGCCAAAGGAAGGGAGGGUCCUUCCUGGUAUUUCCUCUAUUUCCUAGUGGACUUCUCCAAGGGCUCAUGGCUACUGUUAUUUCUCUAGGAAAACCUGAAGUUGGAAGGACACCUUUUGUGAGUCCCGAAUUAAAUGUAGCCACAAUUGAAAAAAGACGUUUCUAUGUGCUCAGCUUCAAAUCAUCAAUGAUCAACAACCUCUUGGUGGUGGUUUGGUUCUUUCGCUCCGAGGAGACGACUUCAGUGUGGAAGGUGGCCCUGUAGCUGCUUGUCAUUCAGAGCACAUAAACAAUGGUGCCCGUGUUGCCAGUCCUUGGAGUUCUGGAGGGGAAAGCACUUGGCACAACUCAAAGACCUGAACUCAUAAACAGGGAGCAGAAGAAAAUAGAGGUUGCUGUUAAAGACACAG